AUUUCCUCUUUGAGAAUUCUUAUCUCCCACGGUAGCCUCUCCUCUCGACGCGUAAUCGCGGGUGAUAUUCUUCUGAACGCGUCUCUUGUCUUUUGUUUUCUGCCUUACGUGUUUCGUCCUCUUGUUUUGUGUUAUCUACGUCGUCUCGCAGGAGGAUGUUUCAACGCGAUUUCUUGGACCGAUCAUCGCUAGGGUUUUUACCUAGUUUGGAUAGGUUUGGUUUCUAGAUUUCAUCGGUGGACCUUUUUGUUCCAUGUGAUCUGCUUGUCGUCUUGUUGUUUUAGAUUGUGGAGGAUGCUUUCUUUGAUGAUCGAUGAUGGCGUUUAGGCUUGAUCGCUCUUCAAGGGUUUUCUCUUUUGGCGGUUUAGCAAGGCUUCUCUCCUUUUCCUUUUCUUUUUUUUCAAAAAAAUCUUCUUACAACAGAAGGCGGUCCUGUGUUAAAGCAAAACCAUGUUAUUUCGUGUUGAUAUAGAACAUGGAGGCUCUAAGAGAGAAGCAAUCGGGACAGCUCUGAAUAGGUUUCUCUGUUUUCUCAUGCUUUACUUGUUUCCCCCAUGAGAAUUACUCUCUCCUUCGUUAUAGGUGUGUGUCGAGGAGGAUGAUCUUCUAUCUUAGACCGUGGAAGGGAACAAUGUUUUGCGUAUGAUCUCGAGUUCUUGGUUAUACCCUUUCCACCUACGGAUUAUAUCUUUUGUUGAGUAUUGGUUAUUGUGGAGAGGUAUGAUGUGUCCGUGUUUUCCAGAUCAGUGUACACGUAUUCAGAUGAAAGACUGAUGGUAACAGAUGUGAUUCGAUCAUCGUUGCCGCUUCUAAGUUUUCACGUUUUUAUAGAACAUCAAGGCUCCAAGAGAGAAAGGCAAUCUGGAUGGCUCCUGAUGAAUCUUCUUCCCGGUUUUAGGUUUCUCUAAUUUCUCUUUGCUAAAAGGAUGAUUUGUUACCUUUCUGGCAGAUUCUUGUUACCCUUGUAUUCAGUGUUUCUAUGUUACUUGACUUUAGUUUCUAUCUUAAACAAUAAGGAUGACUUGGUUUGGAGCGUCUACGAGAAACAAUUCGUUUUGUGGAAGGGAAUAUGAUGGUUUGCGUAUGAUUCCUAGUUCUUGGUUAAAUCUUUUUAGCCUAUGGAUUACUUUUGUUGCUACUGUGGGGAGGUAUGAUGUGUCCUCUGUCUUUUUUUACAGAUCUGCUUUAACUAAUCAAUUCACGUUGUUCUUCUGCGGUCUACACACAUUCAGAUGAAAGAUGGAUCAUAACAGUUGGGUUUGUCCUUCUUUUGCUGUUUCCAAGAUGGAUUACUUCACUCUGUCUAUUAAAGUAGUCUUAAAGAUUGUCAGUUCUAUCAAUUAUUCAGCUUGUAUAGAUUUUGAAAUGUUUUUGAGGAAAGCAGAAAGCAGGACUACUAAUUGUUUCCCGGCAGGACUACUAAUUGUUCCUACUUCCUCCUAACCACAGUUACUUAUCUUCUAUAUAAGAGUUUACAUCGGUGGCUUUUCUGUUCAUUCAAUCUACUUCUCGUUGUUUUAGAUUGUGGAGGAUGCUUGCUUUGGUCGAUGAUGAUAUUGUUAGGGUUGAUCCUCUUUCACGCGUGUAGAAGGGCAUAUGUCUUUUCUUUUUUUCCUACUUUUAAUUUCCUCGUCAUUGAAGCCGGUCUUUUCUCCUGUCUUCACCGAAGCAUGUUUUCUCGUUUUGAUUUAGAACAUGGAGGCUCCAAGAGAGAAAAGCAAUGGCGGUGACUCUGAUCUACCUUCUUUCCCGUUUUGAUUUACUUGCUUCGUUGGAUGGCUCUUGAUCUAUACAGUCUUCUCUAUGACUUUUCCCUCUUUUUGGUUACUAUAAAGAUGCGAUCAAGCUUCCUUCGCCCUUUUUUGAUUUUACAGUCUGUGCAUCUAUUCUAUGGACUGAAUGCAAAUCACUUCUGCUCAAGAUGGUAGCCUCUCCUUUCUCUUUGAAUUCAGUUUAUUUUGGAUGACUCUGUUUCGACCUGUUCGUGCAUAGUCUCCUGUAUCAGUACAUCCAGGGCUGUUUCAGGCGUCCACAUGUUUGAUGGUUAUCUCCCAGCUCUUUGAUGGCUACAUCAGGGAACCGUUAAUGGUUACGCAUUCUUUCUAUCCUUGUUUUUUUUAUUUCAUACAUUACUAUUUUUGUCUCCGGGGUUUUUGUUGUUGAGUUUGUUAGCAUGUCUUGGGAGUGGUCUACUUUCUCCACGACAUCAACAUUGAAGGUUCUUCUGAUUUUUUGCUCCUCCUUUUUUAUAUGGAAACGUUUUGUUUUGGACAGUGAUCUUUGGCAGUCUUAAAGCGAUCUCUUGGACAGAUCAACGUUCCUACGCCAGUUCGUUUACUUUUCACGGAUUGUUUGUUUAUUCAAGCGUUCAGUUUCGAGAUUCCAUCGGUUAGCUUUUUUUGUGGAAGAUGUUCUGAUUGAUCGGUGUUUCUCUACGCUACGUCUUCAGGGUCUUUCUCUCAUCUAUUUCCGAGGUUUGGUUUCUUCUAGAUUGCAUCCGUGGCCUUUUUUGUUACACGUGAUCUACUCUCGUUUUGUUGUUUUAGCUUGUGGAGGGUGCUUGCUUUGCCCGUGAUGGCUGUUUUGGUUUGUUCCAGCGCGUUGGCAGUUUAUCAGGGCUUCUGUCUUGUUACUUUUUACUAUUUUUGAUUUCCUUUUUACACUAGCCGGUUUGUCUUUACUACCUUAAGCGAAACAUGUUUUUCUUCGUUUUGGUAGAGAACAUGGAGGUGCAAUGGGAUGUCUCUGAGGAUCAUGAUCAAUCUUCUUUCCUCGGUUUAGGUUUCUCUGUUUUCUCGUGCUAUAUUUAUUUUAUUUCCGUGAAUUGCUCUCUCUUUCUCAGUAAUAUGAAGGAUAUUACUAUGUACUCAACGAGAAAGAAAUUGAUUUGUGGAAGGAAUGAUGGUUUGGAGUUCUUGGUUACACCCUUCUUUCCUACUGGUUAUUUUAUUUAGUGGUUGGUUAUUGUGGGAAGUUUUUAUUUGUCUUCUUGUGUUUCCAGAUCUGGUUUCACAAAUCAAUUUACCCUACAGACAUUCAGAUGAAAUCUUGAUCAUAACAUAAGGGUUUGCUCUUCUUUUUUCUAUUUGUCUAUUAUUAAGUAGUCUAGUCUGUUAGUUUCUACCUGUUUGUCUAGUCUCCUCUAUCAGUACAUCCAGGCGUGUUUCAAGCUUUGUGCAUGGUUGUCUUGUCAAGGAUGAAUGUGGAGCUUCUAGUGUUUUAUGGAUUCAGGUGUCGUGAACUAUGAAGAUUUUCAACUCAUCAACCACUCCACCCUACCCAAUGUGGCCCAAUGAAUGGAUUUUGUUGGGAAGAUAGAUGAUGUCUCUUUUGUGUGUUUAUUGCGUGUUCCAGAUAUUCUACCGAGUAUACACCCAUUUAGAUGGAAGAUGGUUAUUUGUGAAUGGGUUUGUUCUUAUUACUACUCCUUUCUGGCUCGAUUUGUUUUCCCAAUACUGCACAGUAGUUGCUAAUUGUUUUCAACUAUUCUACCGGCCUUUUACAGUA